CGUGGGCAGGUCCGAGAUCAUUUCUCCCRAGUGAGGUAGGGCUGUGGAUAUUUCUCUUACAUUCGCCUCGURAGGGACUAACGGUCGAGUUCCUCCAGUUCCUUGGGCCGCUGAGUUCGCUCCCUUAUCCMACAGGAAACCCGAAUGUUAAGCCGCAUUUCRGSCACCUAUGCGUGGGCCAYCUCCUGCACCGCCAAGCCUUUCCAAGGCCUCUCCAGAUCGCGGUAAAGCUCGUCCGCGGGUCUUUCACAGGUGGCGGGCUUGUUUCUACGAUAUGGCAGUUCUMCCACCUGCACUUUCAUGCCGAAAAGCUACCUGAGCGCAGACUACAUACUUGUCCCCGCUAGAAGGCAGAGUCGUCACCAGGUUUGGAAGUAAAAGUCGUAACAAGGUUUCCGUAGGUGAACCUGCGGAAGGAUCAUUAAAGAGUAAGGGUGCUCAGCGCCCGACCUCCAACCCUUUGUUGUUAAAACUACCUUGUUGCUUUGGCGGGACCGCUCGGUUCCGAGCCGCUGGGGAUUCGUCCCAGGCGAGUGCCCGCCAGAGUUAAACCAAACUCUUGUUAUCAAACCGGUCGUCUGAGUUAAAAUUUUGAAUAAAUCAAAACUUUCAACAACGGAUCUCUUGGUUCUCGCAUCGAUGAAGAACGCAGCGAAAUGCGAUAAGUAAUGUGAAUUGCAGAAUUCAGUGAAUCAUCGAAUCUUUGAACGCACAUUGCGCCCCUUGGUAUUCCGAGGGGCAUGCCUGUUCGAGCGUCAUUACACCACUCAAGCUAUGCUUGGUAUUGGGUGCCGUCCUUAGUUGGGCGCGCCUUAAAGACCUCGGCGAGGCCACUCCGGCUUUAGGCGUAGUAGAAUUUAUUCGAACCCCUCUCAAAGGUGAGUAUCUGUGUGGGCGCCUCGUGUGAAGUAAAAGAUGGAAUCAAAGAKCAGACAACUUACAGGUAGG
rnacentral:rRNA from 1 species